rnacentral:tRNA from 3 species
AGCUGAGUGGCGCAGCGGAAGCGCGCCGGGCUCAUAACCCGGAGGACAGUGGAUCGAAACCACUCUCAGCUA